GAGGCUCCUUUCGUUGUUGCCA
rnacentral:siRNA from 1 species